rnacentral:rRNA from 1 species
GAUGAACGCUGGCGGCGUGCCUAAUACAUGCAAGUCGAGCGAACAGACGAGGAGCUUGCUCCUCUGACGUUAGCGGCGGACGGGUGAGUAACACGUGGAUACCCUCCCUAUAAGACUGGGAUAACUUCGGGAAACCGGAGCUAAUACCGGAUAAUCUAUUGAACCGCAUGGUUCAAUAGUGAAAGACGGUUUUGCUGUCACUUAUCGAUGGAUCCGCGCCGCAUUAGCUAGUUGGUAAGGUAACGGCUUACCAAGGCGGCGAUGCGUAGACGACCCGAGAGGGGGAUCGGCGACACGGGAACGGGAACACGGACCAUACUCCUACGGGAGGGAGCAGUAGGGAAUCUUCCGCAAUGGGGGAAAGCCUGACGGAGCAACGCCGCGUGAGUGAUGAAGGUCUUCGGAUCGUAAAACUCUGUUAUUAGGGAAGAACAAAUGUGUAAGUAACUAUGCACGUCUUGACGGUACCGAAUCAGAAAGCCACGGCUAACUACGUG